rnacentral:rRNA from 1 species
UACGGGGGGGGCAAGCGUUGUUCGGAAUUACUGGGCGUAAAGGGCUCGUAGGCGGCCAACUAAGUCAGACGUGAGAUCCCAGGCUCAACCUGGGAACUGCGUCUGAUACUGGAUGGCUUGAAUCCGGGAGAGGGAUGCAGAAUUCCAGGUGUAGCGGUGAAAUGCGUAGAUAUCGGGAGGAACACCUGUGGCGAAAGCGGCUCACUGGACCACAACUGACGCUGAGGCGCGAAAGCUAGGGGAGCAAACAGG